CGGGGAAUAGCUCAGGAGGAGAGCGCCUGUCUUGGGCACAGGAGGCCGUGGGUGCGAGUCCCUCUUCCCCGACCA
rnacentral:tRNA from 1 species